rnacentral:lncRNA from 1 species
AUCGAAACAUUCAGCUGUCGACGGACAAAGCCGGAACGUCGACCGCAAACGAAGGAUGGCCAGGCCCCGGUUCCCAGGGUUAGGGUAUUCCCUAUUAUGAGCCUACUCAGAUCAGAACUAAACUAGUUGAUUCUCUUUGGCCGGCCGGCUUGUUGCAACCUUCGCAUUAGUUGUUCUUGCCGGGAGAGUAGCGUCGGAGACAUCUUUAUCUGAGGAGGAGGC